GACGAACGCUGGCGGCGUGCUUAACACAUGCAAGUCGAACGGAAAGGCCCUGCUUUUGUGGGGUGCUCGAUUGGCGAACGGGUGAGUAACACGUGAGUAACCUGCCCUUGACUUUGGGAUAACUUCAGGAAACUGGGUCUAAUACCGGAUAGGAGCUCCUGCUGCAUGGGGGGGGUUGGAAAGUUUCGGCGGUUGGGGAUGGACUCGCGGCUUAUCAGCUUGUUGGUGGGGUAGUGGCUUACCAAGGCUUUGACGGGUAGCCGGCCUGAGAGGGUGACCGGCCACAUUGGGACUGAGAUACGGCCCAGACUCCUACGGGAGGCAGCAGUGGGGAAUAUUGCACAAUGGGCGGAAGCCUGAUGCAGCAACGCCGCGUGCGGGAUGACGGCCUUCGGGUUGUAAACCGCUUUCGCCUGUGACGAAGCGUGAGUGACGGUAAUGGGUAAAGAAGCACCGGCUAACUACGUG
rnacentral:rRNA from 1 species